rnacentral:rRNA from 1 species
CAAUAGCGUAUAUUAAAGUUGUUGCAGUUAAAAAGCUCGUAGUUGGAUUUGUGGCGUACGGUGUGUUCCGGGCACUUGUUGUCUGAGUAACCUGCUGUUGCCAUCCUUGGGUGGAACCUGUGUGGCAUUAGGUUGUCGUGCAGGGGAUGCCCAUCAUUUACUGUGAAAAAAUUAGAGUGUUCAAAGCAGGCUUAUGCCGUUGAAUAUAUUAGCAUGGAAUAAUGAGAUAGGACUUUUUUGCUAUUUUGUUGGUUUGCGCAAAGAGGUAAUGAUUAAUAGGGACAGUUGGGGGUAUUUGUAUUCCAUUGUCAGAGGUGAAAUUCUUGGAUUUUUGGAAGACGAACUACUGCGAAAGCAUUUACCAAGGAUGUUUUCAUUAA